rnacentral:rRNA from 1 species
UUGGAACCUGCCCCAAAGUGAGGAAUAAGCCACCGAAAGGUGGUCUAAUACUUCAUAAUAUCCAUCUCGUAUGGAUUAAAGCUUUAUGCGCUUUGGGAGGGGCCUGCGUAACAUUAGCUUGUUGGUGAGGUAAAAGCUCACCAAGGCUUCGAUGUUUAACUGGUUUGAGAGGAUGACCAGUCACACUGGGACUGAGAUACGGCCCAGACUCCUACGGGAGGCAGCAGUAAGGAAUCUUCCACAAUGGGGCAACCCUGAUGGAGCAAUACCGCGUGCAGGAUGAAGCGUUUCGGCGUGUAAACUGCUUUUAUCACCGAAGAUUAUGACUGUAGGUGAAGAAUAAGGACCGGCUAACUACGUG